CAGUCGCCACGGGAAUACAGAGGGUGCGAGCGUUAAUCGGAUUUACUGGGCGUAAAGCGUGCGUAGGCGGCUUCUUAAGUCGGAUGUGAAAUCCCUGAGCUUAACUUAGGAAUUGCAUUCGAUACUGGUUAGCUAGAGUGUGGGAGAGGAUGGUAGAAUUCCAGGUGUAGCGGUGAAAUGCGUAGAGAUCUGGAGGAAUACCGAUGGCGAAGGCAGCCAUCUGGCCUAACACUGACGCUGAGGUACGAAAGCAUGGGGAGCAAACAGGAUUAGAUACCCCAGUAGUCCCUGUCUCUUAUAC
rnacentral:rRNA from 1 species